rfam:Paenisporosarcina sp. HGH0030 genomic scaffold acAqH-supercont1.1, whole genome shotgun sequence.
GGGGUAUUAGCUCAGCUGGGAGAGCGUCACGCUGGCAGUGUGAAGGUCGUCGGUUCGAACCCGAUAUACUCCA